rnacentral:tRNA from 1 species
UCCCCGGUAGCUCAGUCGGUAGAGCAGGUGGCUGUUAACCACCGUGCCGCAGGUUCGAGUCCUGCCCGGGGAGCCA